rnacentral:rRNA from 1 species
AUGAAGUCCUCGUCUCAGAGCCACAGCCCCAGGACCCCGUCGCCGCGCGCUCGCGGCACGGCGGCGGCCCCCGGCGCCGACCACGCGCGCUCCUCCUCGGAGCCAUGGGUUCUCGCGUGCGUGGACGACACGUGCGUCAACGACGUGGAGAGCUUCGCGCGCACCGUCGCCGCCGUGAAGUCCAAGCCCCGCCCCGACCUGCUCCCGAGCGUGCUGUCCCACUACGCCGCCAAGUGGCUCCCGGACGUGGCCACGUCCGCCUCCGGCCGCUUCCUGCCCCCGGAGAGCCCCACCGCCACGUGGCUCAAAAAGCGCCUGCUCCUGGAGACGCUCGUCGCCGCGCUCCCGCCGGACCCGCCCAGCGGCGCGGCCGCCGACGACGGCAUCACGUGCGACUUCCUGCUGAAGCUGCUCCGGGCGGGGAGCAUGGUGGGCGCGGACGCGGCGCUGCUGCGGGAGCUGGAGUCCCGCGCGGCGCGGCGGCUGGACCAGGCGACGCUGGCGGCCGUGAUGAUACCGGCGUUCGGGCACGCGCCGGGCGGGUCGACGCUGCUGGACGUGCCGCUGGUGCUGCGGCUGGUGCGCGGGUUCCUCAAGGAGGGCGGCAAGGGCGCCGGCGGCGGCGCCGGGGCGAGGGUGGCGAGGCUGGUGGACGCGUACCUGGCGGAGGCCGCGCUGGAGGCCGAGCUGCGGCCCGCCGAGCUCGAGGAGCUCGCCCGCGCCGUGCCCGCCCACGCGCGCGCCGCCGAUGACGCGCUCUACCGCGCCGUCGACACCUACCUCAAGGCACACCCAGGCGCCGGGAAAGAGGAUCGCAAGUCGCUGUGGAGGCUGAUCGACCCCCGGAAGCUGUCUGCGGAGGCGGCGGCGCACGCCGUCCAGAACGACCGGCUGCCGGUGCGCUCGGUGAUGCAGGUGCUCUUCUCGGAGCACGGCAAGCUGAACCGCCUCGCCGACCUGGGCGCCUCCUUCAGCGGCGCCAGGGUCCCCUGCAGCCCGGCGGCGGCGCUGGACCUCCACUCCGGCAGCGGCCGCUGUCCCUCCAAGCGCGAGGCCCUGGCGCAGCACCAGGAGAUGCGCCGCCUGCGCGAAGACGUCGCCAGGCUCCAGGUCCGUUCAUCGGACAUUUUCCAACUCUGGAGACAGCUCUCAUCCGCCAGUGCGUACGCUGACAUGUCUGGGCUGCAGGUACAGUGCAGCGCGCUGCAGGAGCAGGUGGAGAGGCUGGGCUCGGAGAGGAGGCGUCGCGGCGGCGUCGGCGGCGUUGGCGGGUUCAAAUGGAGCACGCUCUGGUUCGGCGGCGGCGGCGGCAUGGGCGGCGACGUCGCGAGGAUCGAGGACUCGGAGAGCGGCAUGGAGCGGCAGACGCCGGCGAGCGGCAAGAAGGGCAGGGCGAGCAUGGCCACGGCGACGCCGACGCCGACGCGGCGGACCCCCAAGUGGCGCAAGUCCAUGUCAUGA